UCCAUUCUUUCCUUUUAUCAAGAUGUCCCUGUCUGGGGCAGCUUCAUUUUGCCCUGAGUACUGGGUCCCCGUUGGGACAAACUUUCUUUGCCCUAGUACAGCAUCUCCAAAGAGACAAGCCUUGUCGUGGGACACCCUCCGGUCAGCUUUUCUGAAUAUUCCUUCAGUGAAACAUCCUUUAAGGUAUAGUAUAUUAAGAAUAUCCUACAAGAAACAUGAAUAGAGAAAAAAGAGGAACUGUUACUUUAUUAAGGACAAGUCACAGAAAAGGGGUUUGCAGGGAACGGGAUAGAGCAUGGCUGGAGUGCACUGCCCUGUAGUGAUCAUCAACCAGAAUUACCACACUUCGGGAAAAGAUUCGAACUGGCAGAGAUUACAGAAUCCCAGAGGCUGUUCCAUGUUUUGCUGGGAAGAUUGGUUCCCUUUCUCCCGCUACCUGGAACUCGAGCAAAGAACAUGCUAAUGUGAAAUGUCACCAGAACUCACCGGAAGGAGGCGAUGCAGACACUGGUGGGCCAGAUGAGGAUGAUGGAAGUCUUCAA